rnacentral:RNase_P_RNA from 1 species
GUAGGGGGCUGGAUGGCCGCGGGGGUAACCUCGAGGAAAGUCCGGACUCCACAAGAUAAUGGUGCCGGGUAACGCCCGGCUGGGGAAACCCAAGGGAUAGCGCCACAGAGAAUAGACCGCCUUGUUAAAGAGCCUAGCUUUUCAACGGGGUAAGGGUGAAACGGUGGAGUAAGAGCCCACCGCGGGACUGGCAACAGGACUGGCAAGGCAAGCCCCACCAGGAGCAAUGCCGAAUAGGGAUCACACGCCGCUUGCGGCAAGGAAAUCUUGGCCUGGUGAUCCGGGUUGGCAGCUAGAGGGCGCUUGGUAACAAGCGCUUUAGAUGAAUGGUCAUCCAAAGGGUUCGCCCUUGGACAAAAUCCGGCUUAUAGGCCCCCUGCGCGU